GACAGAGGUGGCAAGCGUUGUUCGGAUUUACUGGGCGUAAAGAGCGUGUAGGCGGUUGGGUAAGUCAGUUGUGAAAUCCCAUGGCUCAACCAUGGAACUGCUUCUGAUACUGCCUGACUGGAGUGCAGGAGAGGAGAGUGGAAUUUCCAGUGUAGCGGUGAAAUGCGUAGAUAUUGGAAGGAACACCGGUGGCGAAGGCGGCUCUCUGGACUGUAACUGACGCUGAGACGCGAAAGCGUGGGGAGCGAACAGG
rnacentral:misc_RNA from 1 species